UUUCCUCUGUUACAGUAGUACAGUCACAGUGUUGAAGGCAGACAGUAGUGUAAUAGAGAUUUACUGUACUAGAAUGGGCAGUAGCAGCACUUUCCUAAAGAGAACAGAACAGCACAUAAUUCUGCACCGUAAGGGGUUUUAGACAUGCCACUGUAAGGGGUUUUAGACAUGCCACUGUAAGAGGUUUUAGACAUGCCACUGUAAGAGGUUUUAGACAUGCCACUGUAAGAGGUUUUAGACAUGCCACUGUAAGAGGUUUUAGACAUGCCACUGUAAGAGGUUUUAGACAUGCCACUGUAAGAGGUUUUAGACAUGCCACUGUAAGAGGUUUUAGACAUGCCACUGUAAGAGGUUUUAGACAUGCCACUGUAAGAGGUUUUAGACAUGCCACUGUAAGAGGUUUUAGACAUGCCACUGUAAGAGGUUUUAGACAUGCCACUGUAAGAGGUUUUAGACAUGCCACUGUAAGAGG